GACGAACGCUGUCGGCGUGCUUAACACAUGCAAGUCGAACGGAAAGGCCCUGCUUUUGUGGGGUGCUCGAUUGGCGAACGGGUGAGUAACACGUGAGUAACCUGCCCUUGACUUUGGGAUAACUUCAGGAAACUGGGGCUAAUACCGGAUAGGAGCUCCUGCUGCAUGGUGGGGGUUGGAAAGUUUCGGCGGUUGGGGAUGUACUCGCGGCUUAUCAGCUUGUUGGUUGGGUAGUGUCUUACCAAGGCUUUGACGGGUAGCAGGCCUGAGAGGGUGACCGGCCAAAUUAGAACGGAAAUACGGCACGGACUGCUACGGGAGGCAGCAGUGGGGAAUAUUACACAAUGGGCGGAAGCAUGAUGCAGCAACGCAGCGAGCGGGAUGACGGCCUUCGGGUUGUGAACCGCUUUCGCCUGUGACGAGACGUGAGUGACGGUAAUGGGUAAAGAAGCACCGGCUAACUAAGUG
rnacentral:rRNA from 1 species